CCCCCCCCGGUUAGUUUUCAGAAUAGGAGGAGCCAGGAAAAAAAUUGUUUGCUCACUGUUUCAGUUGUUUUCCUGUUCUCUAUAAAAUGUGGCUUUCUCUCUCUGUGUUAAAAAAAUGAUGAUACUCUUCUGACUGUGCUUGGAGGUAUUUUCCUUGCUUUCUUUAAACACAUUUUUUUCUGGUUGGUGAAAAGGCACUCUGCACGUGCUCAGUGGCAGCCUGUGACUCCGGAAGGAUGGAAACAAGCAGGCAGAAAUCCUUCAGAGCAACUUGCCUGGGGCCUAAUUAAACGAGCUAAAGGUGUGUCUAUGUGUGUGUAUCAUUAACCCUGUGCCCAGGUGUAGGUGUCAUAGCAUAUGUUUAGUGGAAUGCUUGGC